rnacentral:lncRNA from 1 species
GUUAYUGUGUUAAUUUUCACGUUCGCUUUGAUACUCUUGGCUUGCAUGGAAGGUGCCUGUCGAUGCACUCACUGCUGCCCGUGCAUACACAAGACCAUGACCACUGCCCUGGAGAAGCAUCUUGCGUUCAGAAGGACACACGACCGUGCACGCGCCGUCUCUCCCGUUUUUCCCGGUGUUCAUCCCGGCAAGCCGAGCGCCCGGUGCRGUGACACAGGUGCCAAGGCGCGUGGGCAGCGCGGAGCGGCGAGACCUAACGAGCCCUUCGUCAGCCGGAUCACUAGGGCGUAAACGCUCCUGGCAGCCUGCCCAAAGUGGGGCUCGAAUAGCUCGAAGCAUUAAAAUGACCCGUAUCCUAGUUAUGACCACUCCGGCGCUGCUCCGCUCCUGCGAGGGAUGCGGGAAUGAUCCCCAGUCGUGCUCGGGCUUUGCUCYGCUGGGAAAUGAGGAGGGCUGCGUUCGUUCCCUGCGGGAAUCCGGGUUGUGCCGAGCGGGAAGGAGCCAGGAUAAACUCCUCAACGCUAGCAGGGAUAUUUAGUGCAAGUGUGCAACUGCGCCACUUCUUAAAAACUGGAAAAUAUUAUGGUGUAUCAGUGAAAUUGGUAGACGCUAGACCUGAGAGAGGCAGAAGUUUAAGCUCAGGUAUCGCACUGCGCCUCGGGUUUGUAGGUAAGGUGGGUGCACAGGCGACGUCCAAAACCACAUCCAGUUCCCGAGCCGUGACCCAAGCUGCUCUUUCGGGCCAUCGGGGUGGUGGCACCCGCGUUGCCAGCGGCUGGCCGGCUCUGGAGACACGUCUCCUCUCCCAACUUCUUCGCCACCUGGAAGCGGCGGUGGGAGCCGGCGGGUGCAAAACGUGGCAAAAGGGCCCUGCUGCCCUUCGAUGGGGAAACGGCGUGUUUCCGCGGGAAGCUGGGCUGAGGGGGGGGUGGCUGAGCUCCACGCGCCGCCCCGGCGCCCUUCCCGGAGGAGACGCCUUUCCCGGACAGCCCCUUUCUCCGCUGGAAAGCUCACGGUCCCUCCCUGCCCAGGGAUUUUGCAAAAAUGAUAAUAUUUGGCACGCCUGGUUACCCAGGUUGCUGCACGCGCUCCCCAUGGGUGGAAGCGCGGGCAGAAGUCGUUCGUGCAGAGCCUAACCUGAAAUAAAGCAUAAAAGCAUGGAGGAUUAGGCA